UACGUAGGUCCCGAGCGUUGUCCGGAUUUAUUGGGCGUAAAGCGAGCGCAGGUGGUUUCUUAAGUCUGGUGUCAAAGGCUACUGCUCAACAGUAGUGUGCAUUGGAAACUGGGAGACUUGAGUGCAGGAGAGGAGAGUGGAAUUCCAUGUGUAGCGGUGAAAUGCGUAGAUAUAUGGAGGAACACCGGAGGCGAAAGCGGCUCUCUGGCCUGUAACUGACACUGAGGCUCGAAAGCGUGGGGAGCAAACA
rnacentral:rRNA from 1 species